UAUAAAAAGUUUUAUAUAUUUUGAUAGAAAAACACAAUCUUAUAUGAUUUAUAUUGAUGACAAAACUACAGCAAUUAUGGAUCCAUUUGCAGUUACAUUAUAUGAUUCAGAAGAUACUACUAAUGGUCUUAAAUUAAUGAUGCCAUUAGUUGAUAGAUUUGCACAGGAAUGGGAUAGGGAUCCUAUUAUUAUGGAACUGUUAUCGGCUAUUAUGUUAUUUAAUCCAAAUCGACCCAAACUAAAGUACCAUCAC